rnacentral:rRNA from 1 species
CAUCACGUAGUUUGACUCCGUGGCUCGAGGAUAGAACGCUGGCGGUAUGCCUAACACAUGCAAGUCGUACGAGUAGUUUUUAACUCUAGUGGCGGACGGGUGAGUAACACGUGAGAAUUUGCCUUUAGGAGGGGGACAACAAUUGGAAACGAAUGCUAAUACCCCAUAUGCUUUCGAGUGAAAUGGUAUUUUAUCCGCCUAGAGAGAAGCUCGCGGCUGAUUAGCUUGUUGGUAAGGUAAGAGCUUACCAAGGCGACGAUCAGUAUCUGGUUUGAGAGGACGAUCAGACACACUGGAACUGAGACACGGUCCAGACUCCUACGGGAGGCAGCAGUGGGGAAUUUUCCGCAAUGGGCGAAAGCCUGACGGAGCAAUACCGCGUGAGGGAAGAAUGCCUAUGGGUUGUAAACCUCUUUUUCAGGGAGGAAUAAAAUGACGUGUACCUGAAGAAUAAGCAUCGGCUAACUCCGUG